rnacentral:rRNA from 1 species
CCUACGGGUGGCAGCAGUGAGGAAUAUUGGUCAAUGGGCGAGAGCCUGAACCAGCCAAGUCGCGUGAAGGAUGACGGCCCUACGGGUUGUAAACUUCUUUUGUCAGGGAGCAAAUGGGUCCACGCGUGGGCUUAGCGAUAGUACCUGACGAAAAAGCAUCGGCUAACUCCGUGCCAGCAGCCGCGUUAAUACGGAGGAUGGGAGCUUUAUCCGGAUUUAUUGGGUUUAAAGGGUGCGUGGGCGGAAUAUCAAGUCAGCGGGAAACAUUCGGGGCUAAACCCCGUCGUGCCGUUGAAACUGGUGGUCUGGAGUGGGCGAGAAGUAUGCGGAAUGCGUGGUGUAGCGGUGAAAUGCAUAGAUAUCACGCAGAACUCCGAUUGCGAAGGCAGCAUACCGGCGCCCAACUGACGCUGAAGCACGAAAGCGUGGGUAUCGAACAGGAUUAGAUACCCUAGUAGUC